rnacentral:rRNA from 1 species
GUCCGAUUAUGAGUAUAUUUUUUUUUAAUACUAAAAAAAUACUAAGCAUUAAAUGGAUGCCUAAAGUUUAAAAAUUAACGUAAAUUUAAAUACGAUAUCUAAAAAGUAAAUUUUUUUUUUUUGAUAAAAAGUUAUUUUAAUUUAAGAUUUUUAGAAUUAAAUUAAUUUUAACGAAUAGAAACAUCUUAGUAGUUAAAAUAAAAAAAAAUCAAUUGAGAUAUUUAGUAGCGGUGAGCGAAUCAACAGUCUUAUAUUUUUAAUAUUAUUUUGAAUUUGAAAAUUACCA